AUUGAACGCUGGCGGCAGGCCUAACACAUGCAAGUCGAGCGGAGCGGCGGACGGGUGCGUAAUGCCUAGGAAUCUGCCUGGUCGUGGGGGAUAACGUCCGGAAACGGGCGCUAAUACCGCAUCCUAUCAGAUGAGCCUAGGUCGGAUUAGCUAGUUGGUGGGGUAAAGGCCUACCAAGGCGACGAUCCGUAACUGGGCUGAGAGGAUGAUCAGUCACACUGGAACUGAGACAAGGUCCAGACUCCUACGGGAGGCAGCAGUGGGGAAUAUUGGAAAAUGGGCGAAAGCCUGAUCCCGCCAAGCCGUGGGUGUGAAGAAGGGCUUCGGAUUGUAAAGCACGUUAAGUUGGGAGGCGUUACCAACAGAAUAAGCACCGGCUAACUUCGUGCCAGCAGCCGCGGGAAUAC
rnacentral:rRNA from 1 species